GUGAAGAACGUAGCGAAAUGCGAUAAGUAGUGUGAAUUGCAGAAUUCAGUGAAUCAUCGAAUCUUUGAACGCACAUUGCGCCUCCUGGUAUUCCGGGAGGCAUGCCUGUUCGAGCGUCAUCAAAAACCUCAACCCAUGAUUUAUUGUGAGUUGGUUCUGCAUUGGACUCCUUGUGGGUCCUUUGCGAAAUCCAAUGGCGAAGAGCCACGCAACCAAAGCGUAGUAUAACUAUUUCGUUAUGGAAGCGUGGGUGCCUCUGCCGUAACCCCCAAUUUCUUAGUUUUUGACCUCGGAUCAGGUAGGGAUACCCGCUGAACUUAAGCAUAUCAAUAAGCGGAGGA
rnacentral:misc_RNA from 1 species